rnacentral:rRNA from 1 species
GACGAACGCUGGCGGCGUGCCUAAUACAUGCAAGUAGAACGCACAGUAUAUACCGUAGCUUGCUACACCAUAGACUGUGAGUUGCGGACGGGUGAGUAACGCGUAGGUAACCUGCCUGGUAGCGGGGGAUAACUAUUGGAAACGAUAGCUAAUACCGCAUAAUAUUAAUUAUUGCAUGAUAAUUGAUUGAAAGAUGCAACUGCAUCACUACCAGAUGGACCUGCGUUGUAUUAGCUAGUAGGUGAGGUAACGGCUCACCAAGGCGACGAUACAUAGCCGACCUGAGAGGGUGAUCGGCCACACUGGGACUGAGACACGGCCCAGACUCCUACGGGAGGCAGCAGUAGGGAAUCUUCGGCAAUGGGGGGAACCCUGACCGAGCAACGCCGCGUGAGUGAAGAAGGUUUUCGGAUCGUAAAGCUCUGUUGUAAGAGAAGAACGGGUGUGAGAGUGGAAAGUUCACACUGUGACGGUAUCUUACCAGAAAGGGACGGCUAACUACGUGCCAGCAGCCGCGGUAAUACGUAGGUCCCGAGCGUUGUCCGGAUUUAUUGGGCGUAAAGCGAGCGCAGGCGGUUAGAUAGGUCUGAAGUUAAAGGCUGCGGCUUAACCAUAGUAUGCUUUGGAAACUGUUUAACUUGAGUGCAGAAGGGGAGAGUGGAAUUCCAUGUGUAGCGGUGAAGUGCGUAGAUAUAUGGAGGAACACCGGUGGUGAAAGCGGCUCUCUGUUCUGUAACUGACGCUGAGGCUCGAAAGCGUGGGGGGGGAAACAAGAUUAUAUUCCUCUCUUGUCUUGGGGGGAGUUUACACGGGUGAUCAGUUUCUCC